AAACCAUGGUGGGGACACUUCAGAAUCAAAUCCUUGAAUCUUUCCCAAGAUUCAUAAAUCUGUUCAUCAUCUUUUUGCUUGAAAUCGGAAAAUGCUUCUCCUAAGGGA